rnacentral:rRNA from 2 species
GCGACCCCAGGUCAGACGGGACUACCCGCUGAGUUUAAGCAUAUCAAUAAGCGGAGGA